CCAACAGCUUCUGAAUCUACCCGCAGAGAGACUGACUGCUCUGUUAUUUUCCCAGCAUCUAUGAAGAGACUCUGACUGUCUAAAAUGAAGGAUUCUCUAGCUUUAGGGGAAGUCAGAGCCACAAGAUGGAAGGAGCUUGGAUCUCCGAACUGUUCCAUGGAGAAAAGCUGCAGUCAGUGAAGAGCACCUGCAGUGGACUCUGAACCUGGGGGUGACGACAACCACUGAAAUAUGCUGCACCUUAGUCCAGGGGUUUUUAAAGUGUGGUUCCUGAAAGAGCUGUCUCAGAGUCGUCCGUGUUGAUGGUGUAACAUAAAGAUUUUCGGGCCUCAAGACUGAAGUAGGACAAGGAAUUUGAAUUUUUAAGUAGCUCACCUGACUUGUCUGUCCUCUAAUAUCUGAGAACACCUGACUUCUGCUCUUUCAGUAAAGGCAACAAUGGUUUUA